CCUCUUCUAGUCAUUAUAGGAAAUGUCAAAUAUAAACCUAGCUGACUUUGGUUCAGCACAAAUUCUUACAAGUAUGGAAGUCUUAAUGGGGGUCUUGUAAACUCCAAGGGGUUAGCAACGCCUCAGUCUAGAACAAACCACAAGAAUGACAUGUUAACACAGUUUUCAGCAAAUAUCCGAGAACAGUGAGCCACUUCAUUGGAACAUUUGCAUUGUGUUCCUGGGCUAUUCAGGGGAGGGUAGAGGAGGCCUGCUACUCAUGGUGAAGGCAGCUAGCUCUAAACCUCCCUUAGUGAGGGAUGACCUGUGUGUAUGGAUUCAACAUGAAAGACUGAGGAGAUCCGUUAUCAAAAUGUACCAAAGAGUUGUACUGGGACGUGUGCCAGGCACUUGUGAUACAGCCAAUAGAGAGCAGACCAGUUGGAAUCAGACAGCUGUUGCAAAGAUGCCAGGACUGCAUUAGUCCCUCUGCUUCUUGGUCCCACUCUAAGAAUACUAGAAGACAGAGCUGAAGACAGGAUGGUGCUGAACACGCAAUCGUGCACACAGCCUGGAAUCUUCUCUCAAGGAACUGUUUGAAGGCUACUGAGCUGAACAAAGACUCGGAGCAAUUCAACAAGUCUGAGGUCAAACCUUCCUUCGCUGACCUAUGCACUAUUUCCAGUUUCAUUUUUUUAUUUGGAUGAAAUCAAUGUGGGAACUCAGGAAGGGGCAAAGGCAGAAACCAUGGAAGAAAGCUGCUUCCUGGUUUGUUCUCCAUGGCUUGUUCUUCUUGCUUUCACAUACCACCCAGGACUAUCUGACCAGAACUGCUUGAGUCUACUUAAGUCACUUCCCAAUCGGUAGUCCCGACCUUGGCUCCUAGCCACCCGCUGCGUCCUGCUGGCCCACCUCUUCCACCUGGGCAGCGGAAGAGUAGCCAAGCAGAAGAGACCCUGCAGCCUACCUUGCUCUGGCUUCCGGUCGCCCUUGGAGAGCGGCAACUCAUUGGCAGCUUCGCCUAGGUCAGAACCCUACAGAUUGCCCACGGAUAGCACCCAGUAUGAAGAACAGGGCUACUGCUUCCAGGGGAAUGGGCUCUCCCACAUCAAUCAUUAAUCAAGAAAAUCUCAAGAACUCAAGAAGAUGGACUCCAGAAAACCAAAUAACCCUACUAAAAAAUGGGGUACAGGGCUAAACGAAGAAUUCUCAACUAAGGAAUAACGAAUGGCUGAGAAGCACCUGAAAAAGUGUUCAACAUCUUUAGUCAUCAGGGAAAUGCAAAUUAAAACAACCCUGAGAUUCCAUCUCACACCAGUCAGAAUGGCUAAGAUCAAAAAUUCAGGUGACAGCAGAUGCUGGCGAGGAUGUGGAGAAAGAGGAACACUCCUCCAUUGUUGGUGGGAUUGCAAGCUUGUACAACCACUCUGGAAAUCAGUCUGGCGGUUCCUCUGAAAAUUGGACAUAGUACUACCAGAGGAUCUAGCAAUUCCUCUCCUGGGCAUAUACCCAGAAGAUGUUCCAACUUGUAAUAAGGACACAUGCUCCACUAUGUUCAUAGCCGCCUUAUUUAUAAUAGCCAGAAGCUGGAAAGAACCCAGAUGUCCCUCAACAGAGGAAUGGAUACAGAAAAUGUGGUACAUUUACACAAUGGAGUACUACUCAGCUAUUAAAAACAAUGAAUUCAUGAAAUUCUUAGGCAAAUGGAUACAUCUAGAGGAUAUCAUACUAAGUGAGGUAACCCAAUCACAAAAGAAUUCACUUGAUGUGCACUCACUGAUAAGUGGAUAUUAAUCCAGAAAUUUAGAAUAUCCAAGAUACAAUUUGUAAAACACAAGAAAAUCAAGAAGAAUGAAGACCAAUGCAUGGAUACUUCAUUCCUCCUUAGAAUAGGGAACAAAAUACCCAUGGAAGGAGUUACAGAGACAAAGUUUGGAGCUGAGAUGAGAUGAUGGACCAUCCAGAGACUGCCCCACCUGGGAAUCCAUCCCAUAAUCAGCCACCAAAUGCAGACACUAUUGCACAUGCCAGCAAGAUUUUGCAGAAAGAACCCUGAUAUAGCUGUCUCUUGUGAGGCUAUGCCAGUGCCUUGCAAAUAUAGAAGUGGAUGCUCAUAGUCAUCUAUUGGAUGGAACACAGGGCCCCCAAUGGAGAAGCUAGAGAAAGUACCCAAGGAGCUGAAGGGGUUUGCAACCCUAUAGGUGGAACAACAAUAUGAACUAACCAGUACCCCCAGAGCUCGUGUCUCUAGCUGCAUAGGUAGCAGAAGAUGGCCUAGUUGGCCAUCAUUGGGAAGAGAGGCCCCUUGGUCUUGCAAACUUUAUAUGCCCCAGUACACAGGAAUGCCAGAGCCAAGAAGUAGGAGUGGGUGAGUAGGGGAGCAGGGCAGGGGAGGGUAUAGGGGACUUUCGGGAUAGCAUUUGAAAUGUAAAUGAAGAAAAUAUCUAAUAAAAAAUGUUAAAAGAAAAAGAAAAGAAAAAAAAAGAACAUCUCCACACAGCCUUGCCUAUAUAGGCAGUCUGAUAGAGGUAAUCCCUCAAUUACAGUUGCUUCUUGUCAGAUGACCCUAGCCUGUGUCAAGUUGGCAAAACUGAACCAUUAUAGCUGUGUAUGAUAUCAUUUUAUAUUAGUGAAUUAAAGGAAAAGAUAUGGCCUCAUGCAAGGCGCAGUGUGAGAGGCCUCGAUGGAAUGAAGAAUCCAAACUAGCCCUGGCUGCACACUGUGGCACCUGGAGAACCUGAGGAGAACUUUCACUCUGGGACUUCUGGGGCCAUUGACUGAGUGUGGUCUGAACACUGACAGUUUUAAAAGUUAAAAGAAUCUAGAAGCACACCCUGGUUUAGAGGGAAAUGGGAAGUCCUUCUUCACAGCUCCCUUCAACUCUUCAGAGGCGUACACCCCGUCGUCUCCCUGGCUGUGAAGUUGGAAGGACUGGGGCUCAACCGUGUCAGGAUAUUUUUUUCUACUAGAUGUAAUCGGCUGGGUUUGUGAGGGGUCAGGGUGGAUUGUGACUUUGUAUGCAGCACUUUCUUCUGAGCCCUUUGGAAUCCCAUGUCGUUCACAGAAUUCCCCAUUCUUAGAAACUUGGGAGCCUUGGCUGAGGAUUUGAAUCCAAAUCUACUAAUUAUUAGGAUAAGUCAUUGAGCAGAAUGUAGAAGCCAGAAUAGAGACCUUGGCCUGAUUGUCCUUGAUGUGGGUUUGAGUUUUAGAUCUCCCUAGGUUCUGUAUUCAUUUAUUAAUUCUAUAACAGAUUAAGGAAAUAAAAGCAGUUGGGCACCA
rnacentral:lncRNA from 1 species